rnacentral:rRNA from 1 species
AUAUACAUACAUACAUACAUACCAGUUCUCGUCUGAUCACUGAAGUCAAGCUACGUUGGGCACGGUUAAUACUUGGAUGGGUGACCGCUUGGGAACACCGUGUGACGUUAACA